CGCCGCGCAACGCACGUUACACGCAUCGCGGAGGGAGCGGAGGUGGUUGGGUUUCUGAGUUUGAGUCUGUCGCUCCUGGCUCUCCCGACACAACAGCGGCGCCCACCUGCCCGCAACGGACUCCCAGGAGCCUCGAGCUCCUCAUUUCCAAAGCUGAACUGCCCCGUGUCUGAUUCCGAUUUCUCUUGAGCGCGUUUCGGAGCCGGCCCAGAACAGAGGGAAGCCAGACACACCAUACCCGGCCCAACAGUGGCAGGGCGGCUGCGGGUGCUGGUCAAGCUGGGUCACCCGGCACUGAGUGACGAUCAGCAAAUACUCAGUGGACGAAAUAUUUGCAGUGCAGUGAGCUACUGUUUUCAGGCGAAGGAGUGAGGCUGAGAUUGACUUGAAGGCUUCAAAACCAGCUAAGCAAAGGAUUACUAGGAUCACAACAGAAACGUGAAGAUGGAAAAAGAAAGUCUGAGUAGAAGGCCAGUUUUGAAAGCCAAAGUAAUACAGAUGUUGGAGUCUACAUAUGGGACCUAGGA
rnacentral:lncRNA from 1 species